UAUCCUUGCUGGCGAAGUAGUCCAUAUACCGGAAUCAUGACAUGAGCCGGGAAAUUUUGCAUUCACGUGCCGGAAAAUUAGUUCAUCGUCACAAACCUAUUGGGAAAAUUAUUUAUUAGUUAUUGAAUAUAAUACUUACCGCUUCAACAUUAAUGCUAUAAUAACCUUUUCUGUUCAUAUACAGGCAGGUUCUGGAAUUCGAGUGGAAGUGGAAAUCAAAAUGAAUGCAAAAACGAGUGAAUUUGCUUUCGGUGUUCUGAAAUCCGAGUUUUUUUUUUUCAUUUUAGAACUCGUUUUAUAUUCACCCUAUAAAUGAACUUUACAUCUGUCAAAUGUAAAAAUGAACUGAUAGCUGUCAAAUUAUUUGUCAACAAGAAAAAUUAAAACGGGGCGAAAUAAAAAUGAGUGCUUUGGUUAUAUUAUCCUCAAUUAUUUUAGAAAGAGAAUUACAUGCAGAGGAAGCUGUUAGCAGGAGGAUUUUACGUGACCAUUCAAAUCCAUUAGAUGUGGCGGAUUUCAAGUUUGUGGCGAGCUACCGGGUAAACAAAAAAGCUUUUGAAAUGCUGGUUAGCGUCGUAGCUCCGCAUGUCAAAGAAAGUAGCAUCCCGGCACGACUGCAGUUGGCGGCCACACUAAGAUUUUUAGCCGAAGGUGGCUUUCAAAAAUCAGUUGGGAAGGAUGUUGUUGUUGCAAUGGGUCGCAGUACAAUUUCGAAAGCUCUUAAGCGGCUGCUUAAUGUUUUAGAAAAAUACAUUUGUCCACAAUGGAUUAAACUUAACAUGACGGAGGCCGAAAUAGCUGCAUAAAAACAACAUUUUUUACAAAACUUCGGCAUACCUGGCGUGGUUGGAUGUGUAGACGGAACACAUAUUCGGAUAACAAAGCCGCAUAAAGAUCCAAGCCUUUUCUACAACCGAAAAGGAUAUUUCAGCAUCAACGCAAUGAUUAUUUGUGACUACAAUAUGACAAUAAGAGCAAUAGAUGCCCGUCGCCCUGGUUCAAGCCAUGACGCUUUAAUUUGGAGUGUGAGCAGAGCUCAAGAGUAUUUCCAACGCAACUACGAAGGCGGUGAACGUGGCUGUUGGCUU